AACAGCCGCUCCACCCGGGACCAGAAAAGUGGCCAGUGCGUCCCGGCCGCCCGCCCUGCGCCGGGGAUGCGGCGGCGUCGGCGCCGGCUAACGGUCCAGGGAGGCGGCAGGGGCGGCGGGAGCCGCUAGGCGGAGAGAGACCAGGGACGCCUGGUUUCCCCCCAAGCGAACCGGGAUGGGAAGUGACUUCAAUGAGAUUGAACUUCAGCUGGAUUGAAAGAGAGGCUAGAAGU
rnacentral:lncRNA from 10 species